AUUGAACGCUGGCGGCAUGCCUUACACAUGCAAGUCGAACGGCAGCACGGGUGCUUGCACCUGGUGGCGAGUGGCGAACGGGUGAGUAAUAUAUCGGAACGUACCUUAUUGUGGGGGAUAACGCAGCGAAAGCUGUGCUAGUACCGCAUAAUCCCUAAGGGGGAAAGCGGGGGACCGUAAGGCCUCGCGCAAUUAGAGCGGCCGAUACCUGAUUAGCUAGUUGGUGAGGUAAAGGCUCACCAAGGCAACGAUCAGUAGCUGGUCUGAGAGGACGAUCAGCCACACUGGGACUGAGACACGGCCCAGACUCCUACGGGAGGCAGCAGUGGGGAAUUUUGGACAAUGGGGGCAACCCUGAUCCAGCAAUGCCGCGUGAGUGAAGAAGGCCUUCGGGUUGUAAAGCUCUUUUGUCAGGGAAGAAACAGCAGCUCUAACACAGUUUGCGAAUGACGGUACCUGAAGAAUAAGCACCGGCUAACUACGUGCCAGCAGCCGCAGUAA
rnacentral:rRNA from 1 species